rnacentral:rRNA from 1 species
GACGUAGGGGGCGAGCGUUGGUCCGGAUUCAUUGGGCGUAAAGCGCGCGUAGGCGGCUGCGCAAGUCGGUUGUGAAAUUCCGGGGCUCAACCCCGGAACUGCGUCCGAUACUGCGUGGCUAGAGGUAGGUAGGGGAGAUCGGAAUUCCUGGUGUAGCGGUGAAAUGCGCAGAUAUCAGGAGGAACACCGGUGGCGAAGGCGGUUCUCUGGGCCUUACCUGACGCUGAGGAGCGAAAGCAUGGGGAGCAAACAGG